rfam:Candidatus Woesearchaeota archaeon CG1_02_57_44 cg1_0.2_scaffold_1511_c, whole genome shotgun sequence.
GCCAGGGUGGCGGAAUCUGGUAACGCGCUCGCCUCGAGAGCGGGUGGCCGCAAGGCCUUUUGGGUUCAAAUCCCAACCCUGGCG